CAUCUUCGGGGCAGGGUGUGAUUCCCAACCGGCAGUAAAUAAAGCCUGCGACCUAUUUAUCUUUUAAAGAUAGAUGGCUGAUCUAGUGCGAAUCUAGAGCCGACAGUAUAGUCUGGAUGGGAGAAGAUG
rnacentral:ncRNA from 1 species